rnacentral:rRNA from 1 species
AUACGGAGGGAGCAAGCGUUAUUCGGAAUCACUGGGCGUAAAGGACGCGUAGGCGGGUUUGUAAGUCAGGUGUGAAAUCCUACAGCUCAACUGUAGAACUGCACUUGAAACUACAGACCUAGAGUAUGGAAGGGGCAGAUGGAAUUAGUGGUGUAGGGGUAAGAUCCGUAGAUAUCACUAGGAAUACCGAAAGCGAAGGCGAUCUGCUGGGACAUUACUGACGCUGAGGCGUGAAAGCGUGGGGAGCAAACAGGAUUAGAAACCCUAGUAGUCC